rfam:Gossypium raimondii Chr06_contig_1021, whole genome shotgun sequence.
CCUGAGGGCGCGCUUUGCCUACGUGGCAACAAAGCGUGCUUACGUGGACGCGCUUUGUUGCCACGUAUGCAAAGCGCGCUGACGUGG